rnacentral:tRNA from 1 species
GAGCUGCGUGGCGUAGUGGUUAAGUGUUUGCACUUCCACUCACACGGUCAGGAGUUCGAGCCCCCUGUGGGUCA